rnacentral:rRNA from 1 species
UACGUAGGGUGCAAGCGUUAAUCGGAAUUACUGGGCGUAAAGCGUGCGCAGGCGGUUUUGUAAGUCAGAUGUGAAAUCCCCCGGGCUUAACUCGGUGAACUGCGUUUGAAACUACAAGGCUAGAGUGUGGCAGAGGGGGGUGGAAUUCCACGUGUAGCAGUGAAAUGCGUAGAGAUGUGGAGGAACACCGAUGGCGAAGGCAGCCCCCUGGGUUAACACUGACGCUCAGGCACGAAAGCGUGGGGAGCAAACAGG